GACGAACGCUGGCGGCGUGCCUAAUACAUGCAAGUAGGACGCAGUUGCGAACGGGUGAGUAACGCGUAGGUAACUACCUAUUAGAGGGGGAUAACUAUUGGAAACGAUAGCUAAUACCGCAUACUAGUAGAUGGACCUGCGUUGUAUUAGCUAGUAGGUAGGGUAAUGGCCUACCUAGGCAACGAUACAUAGCCGCGCUGGGAGGGUGGACGGCCACACUGGGACUGGGACACGAACCAGACACCUACCGGAGGCAGCAGUAGGGGAUCGUCGGCAAUGGGGGGAACCCUUACCGAACAAAGCCGCGUGAGUGAAAAAGGGUUUCGGGUCGUAAAGCGCGGUUGGUAAGGAAGCGGUACUUAACCAGAAAGGGACGGCUAACUACGUGCCAGCAGCCGCGGUAAUGC
rnacentral:rRNA from 1 species